AUGGAGUUGAGAACCAUUUGGAUACCAUGAAUAAAGAGUCUGUCUGCUUUGGAAUCUGAGAAGGGAGGAGCAGAGAAGGACCGAGAACUCCUGGACAUAAAAAUCUCCCAUCUCCCACCUCAGCACACCUUGCUGACAAGGAUACAGCAGGCUUUCCGUAACUGCUGUUGAUCAUCUCCAUAAUCGUGAGUCAACUUGCCAGAGAGGGUCGGCCUGACCGACAAGAGGAACAGACUUAUUCCAGCAGCUGUCAGUGUCCAGAGGACACUAUGUUCCUUGGACCUAUUACCAAACCAGCCAGAUACUUCUAAGAAUGAAUUAACAUUUACCGAUGGAUUCUGUGGUGUUGGAGAAGACUCUUGAGAGUCCCUUGGACUGUAAGGAGAUCAUACAAGUCCAUCCUAAAGGAAAUCAGUACUAAAUAUUCAUUGGAAGGACUGAUGCUGAAGCUGAAACUCCAAUACUUUGGCCACCUGAAGCGAAGAACUGACGCAUUGGAAAAGACCCUGAUGCUGGAAAAGAUUGAAGGCAGGAGUAGAAGGGGAUGACAGAGGAUGAGAUGGUUGGAUGGCAUCACGGACUUGAAGGACAUGAGUUUGAGUAAGCUCCAGGAGUUGGUGAUGGACAGGGAAGCCUGGUGUGCUGCAGUCCAUGGGGUCCCAAAGAGUCAGACACGACUGAGUGACUGAACUGACUGACUGAUGGAGUCUAUAAUGUAUGAUGACCUUGAAA
ensembl:lncRNA